rnacentral:misc_RNA from 1 species
UUGGCUGUCAACAAAAAAGCGCGGGCGUUGAGGUCGUGGUCUCCGCGGCGACCGGCUUCCAUAGUUUAGGUACGGAGGAAGCUAGUUCAAGGCCGCCGCCAUGGCCGAGUCGCCGCGCCUGCCGGACGGCCGGCUGGACCUGAGCCGGCCGCGCUGGGACCAGAGCACGUUCGCCGGCCGGCUGCGCCACUUCUUCAGCAUCACCUCGCCGCGGCUGGCGCUGCACGGCGCCGCCGACGUGGAGGCCGCCCGCCGCCUGGUGGAGCAGUACCGCGCCGGCGCCGAGCCGGCCGGCACCACUGAGCAGCAGGUGUGGCGCGCCAUGGCGCUCUGCGACUCGGCGCUCCACCCGGACACCGGACAGCUGCAGAGCGUGGUGGGACGCAUGUCGUUCCAGGUACCCGGCGGCAUGGUGCUGAUUGGCGGCAUGGUCACCUUCUACCGCAGCACGGCCGCCGUCGUCUUCUGGCAGUGGGCCAACCAGUCCUUCAACGCAUUCGUCAACUUUACCAACCGCAACGCCAAGAGCCCGCUGUCGACCACCCAGCUGGGCGUGGCCUACGUGUCGGCCACCUCGUGCGCGCUGGUUACGGCGCUGGGCCUGAAGCGGGUGCUGGCAUCGCGCGCCUCGCCGCUGGCGCAGCGGUUCGUGCCGCUGGCGGCCGUGGUGGCGUCCAACUGUAUCAACGUGCCGCUGAUGCGCCAGGGCGAGCUGCUGGGCGGCGUGCCCGUGCGCGACGCGGCCGGCCGCGAGGCGUGCGUGUCGCGCGCCGCCGCCGCCAAGGGCAUCUCUCAGGUGCUGGUGAGCAGGAACGUGAUCGUGGCGCCGAGCAUGCUGCUGCUGCCGGUGCUGAUGUCGCGGCUGGACCGGGUGGCCUGGUACGCCGGCCGGCGCCGGCUGCACGCGCCCGUGCAGACGCUGCUCUCCGGCGCCGUGCUGCUGCUCAUGGUGCCGGUGGGCUGCGCCAUCUUCCCCCAGACGUGUCGCAUCUCGCCAGAGACACUGCGCCGCCUGGAGCCGGCCAGCUACGAGGAGCUGCGCCGCCGCUACGGCCCGCAGCCGCUGCCGGACGCGCUCUACUUCAACAAGGGACUGUAGGCGGCCGGACGUGCUGCAAUGGACCCACUGGCCACUGCGCACCGCCGAGGGGGCUACUGGAUGUUCCAACGAUAAGCUUGAUCACCGGAUCGUCCUCGAGUGUCGCUACAUUCCUCUGAAAUGCAUUCGAAUUUAUGUAGGCUUAUUGGAGAGAUUAAAAUCAAUCAAGCCAUGGUUUGGCUAAAUCUACUAGUUGAUUGGGUUCACAUUUUACGGUUGUGGUAAUAGCGACAGGUCAGCUCAAACAUGCUGUGAUCAACUACUUAAAGGUGCAAUUUUACCAGGUUUACCAUACUCAUCCAUAUGCACCGAAGUAAUAAUACGGCACAUCAUAAUUAUCCAUCUAAAAGAAAAGUGAAAAGCAUUGCUGUUUGAAUCGAAUCGUGACUUAUAAACUACGUGAAACAAUCAUUGUUAUUUCAAAGCUCCAAUAUUUGUUCUUGCUGUGCGUCUUUGAGUAUGACGUUGGUUAAUGUUAUAGGGCCUUGAUUCGUGAAUGGGUAAUCAAAAUGCUCGUUUUGACACAUUGCAUUCAAUUGUUUGCAGUAAUCCGUCGCUAUGCAUUGGAUGAUGUUUAUGAAUAAUGCAUUCAAUUGUUUGCAGUAAUCCGUCGCUAUGCAUUGGAUGAUGUUUAUGAAUAAUCAGGUGCGCGCAUCUUGCCAAUGUUAGGGGGGAAAGCUGGUUGUUUUAGCGUCAUUCAGGUGGUGUUGCACACCGUUGUGCAUUUCGUUAACCAUUUUAAUCAGUUUCCUUUUUCUCUGUCGAGAAGUUUGGUUCACUGGAGCUCUGUCUCAACUGCCAAAUGGUUGCACACCCACGUUUGUUGUGAGUUUGCAGCACGCUAGUUGGCUGUCACUGGCCAGUGCUAGAUCGCCACCAGGCUAUCCACACGGGUUGAAGGGCACUGCAUACUCCAUUCCGGCUGCACGCAAUGUCACGGUAUUAGCUUGGUAGGAGUUUGUUUACCGUCGCUCAACUCGGGUGAGGGCUUGGUUGGGUGCAGUUCGAUCGAAGAAGCUCUAGUCUUAGCAGUUAGAAUGACUGUGUGAAACCGACUAUAUUGAGCGGGCAAAAUCUUGAAAUGACUUCGCGUCGAUUCAAUUCAACUGAUUUUGCGCGAUGAACCACGUUGAAUCAGCACAGUUCGUCACCAUGAAGAGCUUGUCACAGCGCUGACCGAUAUGAAUUGAAGGGUAGAUCAUGGUAGUUGCAUGCGUAUGGUGCGUCCCAAGUUCCAAGGCACCUCUUUUGGUGCAGUGUGUGUGUCGCGAACCCAGACCCGUGACGGUACGUGUGGCUAGCCUUAGAAACGUCUUCCAUGGCUUAAAACGCUUAGGGAUGUCUAGGGGUCGCGGCAAUACCUUAGGACUUACGACAAUACCUUGGGGUGUCGUAUGCAGGACAAUACCUUAGGCCUUAGGGUGCCGUAUGUAGAGUUCACGAACUGUUUGGUGUUUAAUUCUUGGUUGUCUUGGGAAUAUAUGUCCAAAUGAAA